ACCGCCAUUACUGACAAUCAAAGACCUUCCCCUCGUGCUAUCUAUCCCCGCAGUAUUUAUACAUUGCGCUAAAGAAAGAAAGAAAUCACUACUGAUAAGAAAGAUGGCAGCCAAGGCAUUCGCAGCCGUGGUGGUUCUCCUCGUGCUCGCCGCUGGUGAGCUUGCGGCGGCGGCAUCAAGCCGUCCGCCGGUUUCUACCCUGCCGCAACCAUCUUCUGCUCCUGCUCAGGCCACGGCGGCGGUGGCCAUGGAAGAAGCUUCGGCGCUAGCUACCACUCGUCGGCACACCAGGAUCGCUGGAGAGGAAGGAAGGAGUUGGGGCGGCGAAGCAGAAGACGGGAAAUCCAUUUCUGUCCACAGCCUCCCGCCGGAGCGCGUGCUUCCGACCCUUAUCCCGCCUACUUCCAAGUAAACCCCCUCAUGCUGUGCAAAUAUACAGUCCGGCCAAGCUGAUGAACCCGAGGAAGGAUAAAUAAAUUGUUGAGCGGUCAUAUAUCAUGCAAUUCAUCCCUGGGAAGAAUGGCCCGCUGCUGAAUUUGUUGUUUUCCAUGAGUGGUGUAAUUAAAGGGUGUAACGUAUUGGUAUGUAUAUUACUGCUUGAUCCUGAAACUGUCGUGCAGAGGAACACAUAGAA